rnacentral:rRNA from 1 species
GAUGAACGCUGGCGGCGUGCUUAACACAUGCAAGUCGAGCGAAAAGACGAGGAGUUUGUUCCUUUGUCGUUAGCGGAGGACGGGUGAGUAACACGUGGAUAACCCCCUUAUAUGACGGGGAAAAUUACGGAAAACGGGAGAAAAUACCGGAGAAUAUAUUGAACCGCAUGGUGCAUUAGUAAAUGACGGUUUUGCGGUCUGGACUAGAGGCUACCGAGCUGGAUGAGCUGGUUGGUAAGGUAACGGCCUAUCAAGGCGACGAUGCGUAGCCGAACUGAGAGGGUGAUCGGCCACACUGGAACUGAGACACGGUCCAGACUCCUACGGGAGGCAGCAGUAGGGAAUGGUCCGCAGUAGGCGAGAGCCUGGCGGAGCGAGGCCGCGUGAGUGAUGAAGGUGUUCGGUUCGUAAAGCUCUGUUAUUGGGGAAGAACAGCUGUGUAAGUAACUGUGGCCGUCUUGACGGUACCUAAUCAAAAAGCACCGGCUAACUACGUG